GAUGAACGCUGGCGGCGUGCCUAAUACAUGCAAGUCGAGCGAACGGACGAGAAGCUUGCUUCUCUGAUGUUAGCGGCGGACGGGUGAGUAACACGUGGAUAACCUACCUAUAAGACUGGGAUAACUUCGGGAAACCGGAGCUAAUACCGGAUAAUAUUUUGAACCGCAUGGUUCAAAAGUGAAAGACGGUCUUGCUGUCACUUAUAGAUGGAUCCGCGCUGCAUUAGCUAGUUGGUAAGGUAACGGCUUACCAAGGCAACGAUGCAUAGCCGACCUGAGAGGGGGAUCGGCCACACUGGAACUGAGACACGGUCCAGACUCCUACGGGAGGCAGCAGUAGGGAAUCUUCCGCAAUGGGCGAAAGCCUGACGGAGCAACGCCGCGUGAGUGAUGAAGGUCUUCGGAUCGUAAAACCCUGUUAUUAGGGAAGAACAUAUGUGUAAGUAACUGUGCACAUCUUGACGGUACCUAAUCAGAAAGCCACGGCUAACUACGUG
rnacentral:rRNA from 1 species